UAAAGGAGGACUUUCCAUGACCUGCAAACCCAAAAAGCUGAAGGAGCACUCGAUUAAACCCCUGGGAUCCUAGACUACAGUGAUGGAAGUCAAAGCUUUGAAUGUUACGUCUCAGCUGAGGUAUAUCGUCCAUGUCUGAAUGAUGUUUGUUAAAUCUGGUUUCUAAAGGUUUAGAAGAAAAGACAAAGUCCUUCAUUUACAGCCUCGUUACAUACCGAAAGUCAGAUCAUAG